rnacentral:lncRNA from 1 species
AAAUAAGAAUAUAGAAGGUGGGGUCACCCACUAUUUGUGGCUUGGAAUGUAUGGCCUGUGGGAAAGGCGGCAUCUUUAAUUCACUUAACCUGAAGGGACUCUAGCCUGCCCGGGCAUGGCAGAUGUGGCUCUGGCAGGCUUGCUCUUCUCCCUGAUUCCUUCUGUCUUGCUAAAAAUCAUUAGAUUGCAUUCCUAAAGCAGGCCACCAAGGUCUAUUCCCUUCUUUGGCCACUUUUUCCUCCUGAGGCUGACUACCAAGGUCUAGCUAGAAAAGUAUUGUAGUCUGGCAAUCAACCCCACAUCCCACCCCGAUUUGUGGCUGCCCUAAUUAACCUAAUUAAAAUUAAAUACCUCAUCCUAACACGGGAUUUCCCCUUUUAACUUUAUAAACUGCCAUUUGCCUAUAGGCCUCAUCUGUCUGUUUUCUCUCUAUCCAGAGAUGGAAAACCCCUUCCCAGGAUAAAAACUCCUCCUCCUCCUCCCCACUUGGCCAUCCUCUAUCUCCCGUCUUUGUCUUUUAUUCCCUGCCUUUUGUCCCUCUGGGGAAAGGAAAUCUCCUUGGUGCUGAGAACUUGGUCUUGGGGUGGCUUGCCGAUGUUGGUCCCUUUAUAAUGUGGACCACAAUCUCGCCGGUGCUGUCCACAGAGAGAUCAAUGGAAGCGUGAAGAGAAGUUCUUUCCUGAGCCUCGGGGCAGAGCCAUCAGGUACAAAGAUAAGUACCAGCAGGAGCAUCUGCAAACAAGAUACAGCAACAUGGUUACCAUGGUUAAGCACGCCCAGCUUUGAUCUCCGAGGAAGAGCAGUGACAGUCGUUCUGAGCCUGGUUCUCUCUGCAGACUGGAAUCUUCGCCAUUAACAGAGUGACAGUUCUGAGUCUCCAAGGUCUUUGUUGGGUAUUUUCUGUUGUUCUUUGGUCCCAGCGUUCCAUCUGAUUUACAUGUUGGAA